GACGGGUCGCUCCCCCGACCCACGCGCUGCCGCCGGCCGGCCAUCCGCACGCCUCCCCGCCGACGGGCUCGCCUCCUCUUGUCCCGGACCCCUUGUCCCGGACGAUUCCCCCAACCCGAUCCCACCACACCGAGCGCGCCGCUGCUGGCCACCUGCCUAGCGCCGCCGCCCCCGCUACCCAGCGAGCCUCGGCCGGCCACUACCUCAGCACGCCGCCGUCGCCCCACUACCCCAGCAUGCCGCCUCCAUGAUCUCCCUCCCCCAGUGUGCCGCCGCCUACCCCUGCCUCCGUGCGCCACCACCUACCUCCGAGCGCCGCCGAUCUUUGCGCACAACUGGCCACCGCUGCCUCCCGCGCCAACUAUGUCCUGAGACUAGCCACGGUGGUGGAUCCAAGAUCCGCCGAGGGAAAACGGGAGCUGCUGCUCCCUGUUGAUGGCCGGUCCUCGCCACCGGCCGCCGCACUCCCGAUGUGUCCCGAGCACCAGCGCCCCUAGAGGCUCGCUCCCCUGCACCCAUGAACCAGCGCCAUCCACCACUCGAGCAGGAUGGCAAUGGUGACAACAUCCAGCGGUCCUCCUCUGCCUCUACUCGCCCUGCCUUCAUCAUCGGCCAACUGUGCAAAUCCAUGUAAAAUGAGUUCAGUUCAAUGGAUUCCAAAAAGGAAAAAACUAUGGAUGGGUGAGAAAUCAACUUCCUGUACAGUUGUGCGAUGAACAUUGGACGACCUCGACCACCGGCACCACUGCUUCCCGACCUCAUGCUUGCAUCGCCAUCUCCCAGUGAGGCUCUACCGCCGGAGCACCUUGGCCGUUCACCGCCACCACUCAAGGCCGUUCAACGCCACCACCCCAGGCCGUUCAUUGCCAGCAGCACCCUGGAUCCCACCCCUCGCCCUAGGAGUUUCAGUUAUUGAGAGCUCGUUGACGAUGAAGGAUGUGAAGCUUCACCACCAUUCACAACUCCAGUAUGGUCCAGUUCGUCAUGAGGAUCCGGAGCUUCAACUUUUCAGUUCAUCUUUCAUAUGCUUUUUAGUACAUCUACUUCCUCGUCGUCUGAAUAUGUUGCCGCUGCCAUGCUGAUUUCCUGUUGCGACCUUGUUGAUUCUCCGCCUUCGAAAUGCUCCCUCAAUCCCUCGCAUGGACCACAGCCGACUGUGGGAUGCACUUUCCAUGCGCAACCAUGUGACCAUGUAGAUGCACGUCUUCAUUGAGUCGCUCAAAGCGCAUAUGUGUGUGUUGUGUUCAUGCGUGCGUGGUCGCGGCCAUGCUUGGCGUUUUGGCGUUGUCUGUGUGUGGUCUUGCGGGCGUCUCACCUCAAACGCAUCCCAGGACGGUGCACGAGUUGCUGAGGAAACGCCCAAGCCUGUGGCCUCUUGACCACAACUUCGUCUCAUGGAAGCUGUUGGAUGUGGACAGCCAGUACGAAUUCAAGUCUAAAUGGCUCAUCGAGGAGAAAAAGAAGAGGAACUCGAGUGGUUUCUCUAUGGAGAAGGGCAGAAGACAUUUUGCUCUGAACAUACUUGUUGAUAUGCCCAUGAGAACGGGUACAUUUGUCUACAUAUUUUUGUGUUGCUGACGAGGGCUACACAAGUUGUAUUUACAAGUUGAACU